rnacentral:rRNA from 1 species
UACGGGGGGUGCGAGCGUUGUCCGGAAUUACUGGGCGUAAAGCGCACGUAGGCGGCUUUGUAAGUUAGAGGUGAAAGCCCAGGGCUUAACCCUGGAAUUGCCUUUAAGACUGCGUCGCUAGAAUCGUGGAGAGGUGAGUGGAAUUCCGAGUGUAGAGGUGAAAUUCGUAGAUAUUCGGAAGAACACCGGUGGCGAAGGCGGCCUGCUGGGCAGUAGCUGACGCUGAUGCGCGACAGCGUGGGGAGCAAACAGG